GUUGAAUACAGCUUUAUUGAUAGUGAGGAGAUUAUAAACAGGAUAUACCUUUUAGUUUGUUGUUCCUUAUACAGUACAAGAAUGUUUUAAGCAAACAAAGAAAUUUUGGGCCAAAAUUUGAUGAAUAAACACAAAGAUUUUUAAGGAGUAUUCAAGACAAGUAUUUUAUUUCUGGUUCCCUGAGAGGGGCAUUUAAAUGCUCUUUACUUUCUCAAUGUGGUGAAGGGUAAAAUUGUUAGUUUUAGAAUCUUCUCAUAAUUAUGAUGGAGGAGUGUUUAGGAAACCAGUCUGCAGUUUUUAAAAAGCAUGUAUUGAAAAAUAAUUCCUUUGAAUUAUUUUUGUGCUGGAGAAUAUACUCAUCAGUGGCUGGGCUGGGAAUUCUAGUUUAUUCAGAGAAGACUCAUUCAGAGUAGAUGGCAUAAACUCAUUUCUUUGUAACUAUAAGCUUCCUGUGUUACUAAAAUGCGGAAGCACCAUCUCCAAGGUGGGUGUAACCGCUCUAGUUUAAAAAGGAUGCGGCGAUGAAGUGCGCACCGCGAGUGCUGCCUGCCACCCAGUGGCCGCUGAAAUCAACAGCUUCUUGUCUCUGUUGGCUCCGGCCCUGACUUUUGCUUAAGG
rnacentral:lncRNA from 1 species